UCACGAUUCUCUUGUCCUACCACUUAAAACAAAAACAUAAACAGAAAGUCAUUUAAUAUUCUGAAAGGACAAAGCAAAAUAGAUUGCCAAAUUACCAGAUGAAAAGAUUAUGCAUGCAUAGUUUGACUUUUCACAUAACCCUAAAGCAUCUGUGACUCUGUGUUGAAUAAGGAUUCUUUUGACAUGGGUAAGACACUUUGCCACUUCAAAUAAGGAGGAAAAUAUUUGCAUCUGAUCCCUGGACACAUACCCACAUCAGAUAUUCAUACCCAAGUCCUAGCAACAUAAAACUGAAGGGAAAAAAAAAAAAAAUCCUAAAUGGCCAUUACCAGAAAUGUUAAUCUAGCAGCUGAUAGUUAGAAGUUGGCUCAAGAAACAAGUUUAUGUUACUUUAACAGAGUUAAACAUAUCAAUAAACACUCUCAGCAGUCCUCUCUAUACCUUCCUAUCUUCAGAAGGAACAAACCUGGAGCCUUCUCUGUUUGUUCGA
rnacentral:misc_RNA from 1 species